rnacentral:rRNA from 1 species
GAUCAUGGCUCAGGAUGAACGCUAGCGGCAGGCUUAACACAUGCAAGUCGAGGGGCAGCAUAAUGGAUAGCAAUAUCUAUGGUGGCGACCGGCGCACGGGUGCGUAACGCGUAUGCAACCUACCUUUAACAGGGGGAUAACACUGAGAAAUUGGUACUAAUACCCCAUAAUAUCAUAGAAGGCAUCUUUUAUGGUUUAAGUAAAACGUUCCGAGUUAGGUUAGAGAGUGGGCUAGUGUCGUUUAG